rnacentral:misc_RNA from 1 species
AACCGCCCAGUACGAGACCCGUACGCUGGGUGGUGUGAGAGGCGCAGUCCGUUUCUAUUUAGGGGCGGACCCGUCUACUCGAU